UGAUGGCAGCUGUUGAAUCGGGCAAGGUUAGGUGUGAAUAUCUUACUGAAAUAAAACAAAUUAGGAAUGAGGAAGCAAAACACUUGGAGGAUUUAGGCAUUUAUCCUUUGUUUUGGGUAUUAGAGGCUUUUGUGUUUUCAUGGUUCAGUCAGUUACAGUGGGUGGGUUUGCAUUGGUGUUAGAAAAUAAAACUGAAAGAAUAUCAGAUGUAUUCAAACUCUGGGACAGAAGUCUAGGUUAUUACAAAUUAGACCACUAACCUUCAAAAAAGGAUUCACCAGUUAGUGGUGACUGAAAUUACUGCGGUGGCACUUUAACAGUAAUCCUCUGAGAUGUAUUUUUGUUAUGAGAAAAGACUCCAUUUGGGUACAUCUUUUAUGCAAGACUAAUAGUUUUUUGGGAUUUUUAAAAAAUUGGUUUUACAAACUCUCAGUGAAUUGAGUUACAAGAAAGUGAUUCUAAAAAUAACGUCAGUAUGAUCUACUUUCAAAAUAAGGCCAUGCUAUAUAGCUUGGAGAUCAUGGCAUCAGAAUUCUGGUAUCAAAGAUUGGUGUAAUAUAAAGCUUCAAAUGGUUAAAACCUGUUCAUGCACGUGGUAUGUGAGGCGAUUUGCUAUUCUUAUGAGCAAAUACAUAGCAACUUGGCAGAGCAGAAAAAAUAAUAUAGUGGGUUAGUCAUAAACCACUUCUUCGUUUUAAUAUAAAUUAACAGAAGGCGAAUAAUCAAAUUACAAUUUAAUGUGGAACUCUUUUUUGAGUUUAUUGCUGUUUUAGCUUUUUGUGGGCCAUGUAGAAAUAAAUACUUACUUUACCUGUGGCUUGCUAUUUGGUAAAUACUGAGGUUUAGUUAUUACGAUAUUUUUACUAAUGCAAUAGUAUCUUUAGUCCUAUAGUACUGGCACAGCCUACUGUUAUUUUCAUAGAAAUAUUCCUGUAGGCAUGUGCUUAUGUAUUCUUAGCCUUUCUUUUUGUUAUGAAAAGCUUUGACUUUGAUGUGCUUAAUACAUUUCCUCUGAGUCAUAGUGAUAGUUGCCAAACGAUUGUUUCUGUUCUUUUUGGACUUGAUUCUAGUUCUGCAGUUGCUUCCUCCUAGGGGGUUGAAGUCCAUGAGCUUUUAUUAAGAUAAAUGUCAGUGAUUUCAAAUGGAUUUGCAUAAAAGAAGCCCUUAGUCUCUGGUAGAAUAGGUCAUGUGUAAUGUUUAGUUUUAAAGUAACAGUGGCUACAGGAAAUAGUAGAAGUAAAAGUUGUUGACCUUUUCUGCACAAUGGAAUUUCUACUUUUGAUUUCUCUUUUUUCCCUUUCUCUUAAAUACGGAAUAUUCUUGCAUCCAUAAGCCAGCAGUGAACUGAGCAGUCUCACUGGUCAUCUUCUGUUUAAAAAUAAAAUAAAAAAAAAAAAAAAGUUUCUCAUUCCCAAUUAAUGCAAUAUCUUGUUCUAGAAAUGACAUCAGGGCAAAAGAUGGUGAUCAUUGAUACACUUUCUAAAAAUAAACAUUGCCAAAGUGAAGAACUUAGAAUUCAGAAGGCUGAUCUUUGCAGCAGCUUCAAAACCAGUAACUUAUGUCUGUCCAAGCCAGGUAGAUAUCUUAGGCAGUUGUCAUGAUUUGGUGUCUUCAAUGGAGUAAUUACUCAUUUAUAUUAAAACUAGCUAGUAUCAGUUUAGUAGGUCAUGAUUAAUUUCAAGUUAAAAAAUAAUCUGCUACCAUAGUUCACAUAUUGCUGUAGGUGAGUGUUUUUUGUGUUUACAGUAAGCUGCAGUUUUUUUCUUUUUAUUAUUACACACUAUUGUUUGAUCAACAAUUAGAGGGAAAAUGAAUAUGUCUCAUAGCAUUAUUUUAGAAAUCUAGUUGCCUUCAAAAUUUUAGUUGUCAAACAGAGGUGUCUUCAGAGUUUAUAAUGCUCUUACUGGAUUUAAUGGGUUGAACUAUUCCUCUUUAAGAAUGGAGUCUGUAGGACUGGAGUUGAGCAAGGCAUUUGAGUAUGUACUUAAGCCCAUCCCUCUUCACUGAAGUAUUUGAGGGCAAGCAGAUGCUUUAGGGCUGGUUAGACUGCUGAGUCAAUGCUUGAAAUUCCAGGCAUCUCUUAUAUAUGAUGUGUUUUUCUGAACUUACUUUCAAUUCCUAAGAUUUUUUUCGCUGUUUUCUGCAAACUUACUGCAACUUUCUGCAGGAAAUAGGAAAUGUUUUUUCAAUUUCUUUAAUUAUAGUUUAGAGCUACUCAUUCAGGAGCAGAUAUAUAACACUAAUUUUCAGCAUUAGUGUUCGAAACAGGGUAUUUGAAAAUACAUGGGUACAAGUACUCAAGGACUCAGCCUUUUGCAGACUGACUUUGUUCUGACUUGUUGGAAACAUAGGACUGGAAAAUAAAACCUCUGUACUGAAUAUAAUGCAGCCAUCAGAUGGCUGUGUCACAAAGAUCUGAUAUAUUUGUCAAGUUCCCUUUAAAAGUAACCAGUCAUUAAGCUGUCCACCGAUGUUUGAAGUGUCCCUGCUGUGGGGUGAGUUGUCAUUUCCAUUAGCUGUAUGCUCUGACUGACUUGUGCUGCAUAUACUUUUACUUCAGGUGUUUCUGACUGACUCAGGAAACCAACUUUGUGAUUUUUAUGAAUACAUCAUAUAGCUUUGACACCUAUUAGCACAAGGGGGUAUGUAGAAAGGCUUUCAGACAGAUGCUUCCUGGAACUAAAGUUCCAGUGCACUUUUCAUUUUCAGCAGCAUUUUGUAAUGAAAAAUUAUUUCAGUAUUAGUUUCAGAAGCUCAAUGUAUGGUUAAGUUCAGAGUUUUCUUCUGGUUACUGCCCUCUAAUCUCAUUCUCUACAGCUGUCAGAUUGUACAGUGCGAAAAGGUUGUAAGCACCCUGAAACUCCAAUUGCUGAAUUGUUUUCCUCUGUAAAAUCUGAAAAAUAGAAGCUACGUUUUGGCUGAAACGUGUUGUGCUAAAGCAGUCUCAGUGCUUUUGGUCCGCUUACUUUAAUUCCUGCUGAGAGUAAGUGGAGUAAGCUUGCGUGUUCUGGAAUAUAACUUGCCGUGUUUAAUGUCUGAACUAUUUAAAAAUGAAUCAUGACUGAGAAGCCAAAAAAAAAUUAAACAAACCAGCAGAAAAUAGAAGAUAGGAGAAAAUGAGGAAUACUGUAUGCAUGCAGAUAUUUAUCAGCAGAAAUUAAAAAAAAAAUAGAGGUGGAGGGCAUACAGUCUAAAAUUGAGAACCAAAAAUUAAUACAGGGCAGUGAAGUAGAACAAGAGUUCCCAAUAUGCAAGAUGAAGGGCGUCCAUUUGUUUAGAGAUGGAAGGAGAAGAUGCAGAGAACAAAGGGCUACAAGGACAAAAUGUGAAAAACUUUCAAAACCUAGUAUAUUAAUGUCAUGCAAAAAGUGACAAAUCAAUUAAGGGACUUCAGGAAAGUCACCUGGAAGAAGUGGUGGGGAGCAGAUGAUUUGAGGUGCCAGGUGAGAGAAAAUUCUGGGAGGCUGCACUGUGUGAUGGGUGUGAACUGCAACAACGUUCUAGCCAGAAGUGGGAAAUGGACUAGGGCAAUAGGGAACAGAAGUGGCCAGUCUCAAAAGAAGCAGUGUUGUUCUGCUUUUAAAUAUGCUCAGGUUUUGCACGUAGAGUUGUUGCCAAAAACAAAUCAUGGGUCAAAAAGAGGAAGGAUUGAAGAAGAUCUGGCUGACUAGCUGUUGUGAGAGUUUGCAAGUUUUAAUCACAAAGGAGAAUAUGCUGCUGUAGAGACACAAAGAGGUAGUAUAGAGAAGGUUCAGGAUGAAAAGUGCACUCAGGUUUUCCUGUUAAGGCAAAUUAAGCCUUGUGUGAAGAUAUAUUGGGAAGGUGGUACAAGAUGCAGCACUGGACAAAAGAUUAGAAUAGAAGAUGUGAUAUAGAGGAGAGAUGGUGGGACACACCGUAAACAGAAGCCUGAUUGAAGAGAAGUGUGUAUGUGAACAUAGCCACAGAAAUAACUGGAGGCAUACUCUGUGCCCUGAUUUCUGGUCUGCUGAUGCUUUUGACCAGUGGCCUAAUAAAAGAAUUGGCUCUGCUAUUGUUGUUGCAUACUCUUAUCCAUUAUGGACCCGGGUAUCCAUGGAAAAGAUGUCUUUAUAAAAAUGAACACCUGGCGUGUGCUUCUGUUAAGGAAACAUUAGGAGGGGUGGGUCAGAUGAGUACUCUGUGUCUGUAAUUGUUUAUUAUAAGAAUGUCCCACUUUCUUAGCUAUAUCUUAGCUAUAAAUACUAAGAAGAGAGGAACAAGUAAAGGCUGUGUUUUCAAAUAUUUCCCCAGGAGCAGGUACUGAAUGCUAGAGCAUUCAUUUUGAAAAAGUGCUUUUGGCAACUGAAGGACCGUGUUCUGUAGCAUUUACCUUCUGUAAGAAUAAUGGAGGGCAUAAGUGAGGUUUAUGUGUGAACAUUUCUGUAGCAUGAACUCAGAAAUGGAAAAUUUACAGGGCUCUGUGAUGUACUGUUAUAUGAAUAAAUGUGUCUUAUCUUAUAGGCUGAAAAUGA